UACGGGGGGAGCAAGCGUUGUUCGGAUUUACUGGGCGUAAAGGGCGCGUAGGCGGCGCAACAAGUCACUUGUGAAAUCUCCGGGCUUAACCCGGAGCGGCCAAGUGAUACUGUCGUGCUAGAGUGCGGAAGGGGCUACUGGAAUUCUCGGUGUAGCGGUGAAAUGCGUAGAUAUCGAGAGGAACACCUGCGGCGAAGGCGGGUAGCUGGGCCGACACGUGACGCUGGAGGCGCGAAAGCCAGGGAAGCGAACGGG
rnacentral:rRNA from 1 species